AGAGUUUGAUCCUGGCUCAGAACGAACGCUGGCGGCAUGCCUAACACAUGCAAGUCGAACGCGUGUAGCAAUACACGAGUGGCGCACGGGUGAGUAACGCGUGGGAACCUGCCCUGGAGUGGGGGAUAACCCGGCGAAAGCCGGGCUAAUACCGCAUACGACCUUCGGGUGAAAGAUUUAUCGCUCUGGGAGGGGCCCGCGUCGGAUUAGCUAGUUGGUGAGGUAACGGCUCACCAAGGCGAUGAUCCGUAGCUGGUCUGAGAGGAUGAUCAGCCACACUGGGACUGAGACACGGCCCAGACUCCUACGGGAGGCAGCAGUGGGGAAUAUUGGACAAUGGGGGCAACCCUGAUCCAGCAAUGCCGCGUGAGUGAUGAAGGCCUUAGGGUUGUAAAGCUCUUUCGGCGGGGACGAUGAUGACGGUACCCGCAGAAGAAGCCCCGGCUAACUUCGUGCCAGCAGCCGCGGUAAUACGAAGGGGGCGAGCGUUGUUCGGAAUUACUGGGCGUAAAGGGCGCGCAGGCGGCCUGAGAAGUCAGAUGUGAAAGCCCCGGGCUCAACCUGGGAAUAGCAUUUGAUACUCUGAGGCUGGAGUGCGGGAGAGGAGAGUGGAAUUCCCAGUGUAGAGGUGAAAUUCGUAGAUAUUGGGAAGAACACCGGUGGCGAAGGCGGCUCUCUGGACCGUAACUGACGCUGAGGCGCGAAAGCGUGGGGAGCAAACAGGAUUAGAUACCCUGGUAGUCC
rnacentral:rRNA from 1 species